AAACAUUUGUUAUUUACAGUUAUCAGUUAUCACAUAGAUCAGUUAAAUAGCUGUUUCACAGUUUCAAGACGUUCGUACUUCGUCAAUGCGGUUGCACGGAGUAUUGUUUUUAACAGUAUUUUUAAAGCCAGUGAUAUCAUCAAUAAUGGAUUCCAAAGCGUUGUCCUCAUCCAUCGCCCAAUUUUCUGCAAAGUUUUGCAAUGAAUUGGAGAAGGGAAGCAGUGUAGUGGCUAGUCCACUAUCUGCUGAAUUUGUACUGGCACUGCUUGCCUUAGGAGCGAAUGACCCUUCCCACGCAGAAUUACUUCAAUCACUCGGAAUUCCUAAUGAUGAUGCUAUUCGCUCAUCAUUUUCUGGUCUGUCUUCAAAACUGAAAUCUAUCAAAGGUGUUACUCUAAAUGUAGCUAAUAAAGUUUACAUCCAAGAAGGUGGCUAUGAUUUAAAUCCAGAGCUAAAAAAUGAUGCUAUUAAAGUAUUUGAUGCUGGACUUGAUAAAUUGAACUUUGCUGAAAGUUCUGCUGCCUGCAGUGAGAUAAAUAAAUGGGUGGAGGGCAAGACCAAUAACCGCAUCAAGGAUCUAUUAAAACCAGACAGCGUGAACAGUGAUACCCGUCUUGUCCUUGUCAAUGCGUUGUUCUUUAAGGGAACAUGGAGAAAGCAAUUCGAUGUGGCCAACACCAUAGAUCAGCCUUUCCAUAUUGAUGAGUCAACCACUGUGGAUGUUCCGAUGAUGUAUUUGGAAGACAAGUUCAUGUAUGGUGAAAGCCCUGAGCUUGGAGUGCAGUUCCUUCGUAUGGACUAUGUAGGCAAUGAAGCAAGCAUGCUUAUUGUAUUGCCUAAGGAAAUAAAUGGCUUGGAUGGUGUUUUGAAGAAAUUGGCCAAUGGUUUUGACCUCAUGGGCGAGUUGGACAGAAUGAUGGAAACUAAAGUCCGUGUGAACAUUCCCAAGUUUAAGAUUGAAUCCGAAAUCAAUCUUAAUGAGCUUCUGCCUAAGCUCGGAAUUUCAUCAAUUUUCGACAGUGGUAACUCGGGUAUUGACAAAUUAUUGGACAACGGUGAACUCUUGUAUGUGUCGACUGCUGUUCAAAAGGCGUUCAUUGAAGUCAAUGAGGAAGGUGCUGAAGCCGCAGCCGCUACAGCGUUAGUAGCGGUUGCUUAUUGCGCUAUGAUAUCGCCGAAUCCUGUGGAAACCUUCACCGCAGACCGACCGUUCUUAGCAAUAAUUCAAACGGACAAUGUGUUUUAUUUCACUGCUACUAUUCGCUCUUUCUAAUCCCUUUUAUUGACGAUUUUAUAAUCAUCAAUUUUUUUUACGAAUUUACUUGUUAAAUGUUUGUUUAAUUAUAUUUUAUCAAAGAUAAUAUUAUGUACAUGUAUUUUCUAUCACGCUUUUGUAAUCCUUAAACGGAAACUACGAAUCUUGUUCAAUUAUGUUUUUGUAUCCAUGAUAAAGCGAACGUUCUUGUCUGUGAUACUUGUCAAUGGCACCAUAUUCUUUUUGGCUAUCUAUGCAUCACAGAAAGUGAAAACAAUAUGUCAGCUUAUUAUAAGUAUUAAGUUUCCUAAUAUAAGCUGUUAAUGUUAAAAGUAAAAGUUGUUCCCAUUAUUAUAUUUUUGAACAGAAAUUUAUUUAAAAUCUAAAUUAUAUAUCAUUUGUUAUAUAUGUUGGUUUCACUUUCAUACCUAUUUCAUAGUAACACUACUUAGGUUACCAUUAACAUGCACAAAUAAUUGCAAUAAAUUCGGUGCAAAAUGUGCUUAAAUGGAAAAUAGUUUUUUAUGUUUAUUUCCUUAAAGUAAUUUAAAAAAUUGCCUCUUCCAGCAUCAAAUUUAUAAAUAAUAUUAACGAUUUCGGGCAUGUCAUAGAAAUGUUGUUCAAAUAUGCAACUAUAGAAUUUAAAUUUUAUAUUGAUUAUCGGUUUAUAUUUUUUGUUUCAAUUUUUUUAAGUAUUCAUGUCGCCAUUAUAAUAUCAUGAUUCUAUGACGUUUACAGCGUUCUGCAUGGUGGUAGAAUCUAUAGAUGAUUUCUUAGCUGGAGGAAUCAUUUUCACGGCCAACCAUCCGUUCUUGUGUGCGAUUAUUAUUGAUCGCGUUAUCUUCUUCACUGCUAUGCAUCGCGGAAAAUGAAGCAAUAUACAUAACAUAAAUAUAUAUAUUAAACGAGAUUAACUUAUGCCAC